AUGUGUAUGCAUGUAGUAACUGCUGUACAGGAGGCAGGGCAGGCGCCGUGCUACCACCAGCCGGGCGCCUUCCGGCCGCCGCCGGCGGCGGCCAUGGCGGCGGCGCGCUCGAACCGCGUGGCCGCGCAGGGGAUGGUGAUCCCGCCGGGGUGCUCGAAGCCGAACUCCUCCUCGGCCUCGCGCAGCAGCUCCCCGAAGAGCGGGUGGUUGAAGUACACCACCGGCACCACGUACCUCAUCGACUCCCCGCCGGGCUCGUCGCCGCCCACGUACACCGCCACCUGCCCCUUGGGCGUCGUCGCCUCGCCGGCCUCCUCCAGCAGCCGCUCGCCGCGCCGCGGCAGGAGCCGCAUCCGCCGCGCCAGCGACCGCCCCCACCCCAGCAUCCGCCGGGGCUCGUCCCGCUCCCGCUCCCGCGGCAGCACCACCAGCUGCUGCUGCUGCUGCUUGGCGCUCCCGACGGCCGCGUGGGACGGCUUUGCGCCAGCUCCCAGCUGGCACCGCUGCAGGCGGGCGUAG
rnacentral:rRNA from 1 species